rnacentral:rRNA from 1 species
ACCCGUUGAUCCUGCGGGAGGUCACUGCUAUUAGGGUUUGACUAAGCUAUGCAAGUUUGCUCACUUCGGUGGGCGGCGAACGGCUCAGUAACACGUCGACAAUCUGCCCUUAAGUCUGGAAUACCCUUGGGAAACUGAGGCUAAUACCGGAUAGGAGAAUUCUUCUGGAAUGAUGUUUCUUCUAAAGCUUCGGCGCUUAAGGAUGAGUCGGCGGCGGAUUAGGCUGUUGGGGGGGUAAUGGCCCACCAAACCUAAGAUCCGUAGGGGCCUUGAGAGAGGUAGCCCCGAGAAGGACACUGAGAUAAGGGUCCUGGUCCUACGGGAUAUAGCAAGCGCGAAAACUUUACAAUACACGCAAGUGUGAUAAGGAGACCCUAAGUGCUUACACUUCGUGUAGGCUUUUGCCAAGCGUAAAUACCUUGGCGAAUAAGUGGUGGGAAAGACUGGUGCCAGCCGCCGCGGUAACACCAGCGCCACGAGUGGUGACCAUUUUUAUUGGGCUUAAAGCGUCCGUAGCCGGCUUAACAAGUCUUUUGUGAAAUCGUCCAGCUUAACUGGGCGACGUGCAGGAGAAACUGUUAGGCUUGGAACCGGGAGGGGUAAGAAGUAUUCUUGGGGGAGCGGUAAAAUGUUAUAAUCCCAAGAGGACUACCGAUGGCGAAGGCAUCUUACCAGAACGGAUUCGACGGUGAGGGACGAAGGCUAGGGGAGCGAACCGGAUUAGAUACCCGAGUAGUCCUAGCAGUAAACUCUGCGAGCUAGGUGUUGCGUAUUCUUCGUGAAUGCGCAGUGUCGAAGCGAAAGCAUUAAGCUCGCCGCCUGGGGAGUAUAGUCGCAAGACCGAAACUUAAAGGAAUUGGCGGGGGAGCACUACAAGGGGUGCGGCGUGCGGUUUAAUCUAACUCAACGCACAGAAUCUCACCAACAGCGACGGCAGGAUGAAAGUCAGUCUAAAGGGCUUACUUGACGAGCCGAGAGGUGGUGCAUGGCCGUCGUCAGCUCGUGUCGUGAGAUGUCCAGUUAAGUCUGGCAACGAGCGAGACCUGUACCUACAAUUGCUAACGACUCUUUUGAGGAUUGAGCACAAUGUAGGGACUGCCUUGGAAACAAGGAGGAAGGUGCAGGCUACGGUAGGUCUGUAUGCCCCGAAUCUGUUGGGCUACACGCGCGCAACAAUGGUGAAGACAAUGGGAUGCAACUCCGAAAGGAGAAGCUAACCCUCUAAACUUCAUCCCAGUACAGAUUGAGGACUGUAACUCAUCCUCAUGACGCCGGAAUCCCUAGUAAUCAGAGUUUAGCAUACUCCGGUGAAUAUGUCCCUGCUCCUUGCACACACCGCCCGUCAAACCAACCGAGCAGGGUUUGGGUGAGGCUCAGCAUAUUAGCUAAGUCGAAUCCAAGCUCAGUGAGGUGGGUUAAGUCGUCACAAGGUA